CCCAUGAUUCCACACUCAGUCACGGCCUCAUCAAACUACGCUUUUGUCUCUUUGUUUAUUUGGAAUAUGUGCCCUCUAGAGGCGAAAAUUACAUAUCGUGCCUUUAAUCUAUUAAUUUAUUUA